rnacentral:rRNA from 1 species
UAGAUACCCUGGUAGUCCACGCUGUAAACGAUGGAUACUAGCUGUUUGGAGUAAUUUGAGUGGCUAAGCGAAAGUGAUAAGUAUCCCACCUGGGGAGUACGCACGCAAGUGUGAAACUCAAAGGAAUUGACGGGGGCCCGCACAAGCGGUGGAGCAUGUGGUUUAAUUCGAUGAUACGCGAGGAACCUUACCAAGGUUUAAAUGGAGACUGACAGGGGCAGAGAUGCCUUUUUCUUCGGACAGUUUUCAA